rnacentral:rRNA from 1 species
GAUGAACGCUAGCGGCAGGCUUAACACAUGCAAGUCGAGGGGUAUAGUAGCAAUACUAGAGACCGGCGCACGGGUGCGUAACGCGUAUGCAACCUACCUUUUACAGAGGGAUAGCCCAGAGAAAUUUGGAUUAAUACCUCAUAGUGUUAUUAGAUGGCAUCAUUUGAUAACUAAAGUUCCAACGGUAAAGAUGGGCAUGCGUCCUAUUAGCUAGAUGGUAAGGUAACGGCUUACCAUGGCUACGAUAGGUAGGGGUCCUGAGAGGGAGAUCCCCCACACCGGUACUGAGACACGGACCAGACUCCUACGGGAGGCAGCAGUAAGGAAUAUUGGGUCAAUGGAGGCAACUCUGAACCAGCCAUGCCGCGUGCAGGAAGACGGCCCUCUGGGUUGUAAACUGCUUUUAUCGGGAAUAACCUGCUUACGUGUAAGUAGCUGAAUGUACCGAAGGAAUAAGGAUCGGCUAACUCCGUGCCAGCAACCGC